rnacentral:rRNA from 1 species
GUAGGUGGCAAGCGUUGUCCGGAAUUAUUGGGCGUAAAGCGCGCGCAGGUGGUUCUUUAAGUCUGAUGUGAAAGCCCACGGCUCAACCGUGGAGGGUCAUUGGAAACUGGAGAACUUGAGUACAGAAGAGGAAAGCGGAAUUCCACGUGUAGCGGUGAAAUGCAUAGAGAUGUGGAGGAACACCAGUGGCGAAGGCGGCUUUCUGGUCUGUAACUGACGCUGAGGCGCGAAAGCGUGGGGGAGCAAACAGGAUUAGAUACCCUGGUAGUCCACGCCGUAAACGAUGAGUGCUAAGUGUUAGGGGGUUUCCGCCCCUUAGUGCUGCAGCUAACGCAUUAAGCACUCCGCCUGGGAGUACGGCCGCAAGGCUG